rnacentral:misc_RNA from 1 species
UCUCUCUCUCUCUCUCUGAGCUCCGAAAUCAGAACUAGGAGUGAGAAAGAAAAGGAGGAAGAAGAGGCUAGGUAUGGCGACAAGAUAUUGGGUGGUGUCUCUACCGGUUCAAAACUCCGCUUCUACUCUAUGGAAUCGUUUACAAGAGCAAAUCUCCAAGCAUUCCUUUGAUACUCCCCUCUACAGGUUCAAUAUCCCUAAUCUACGUGUUGGAACGCUGGAUUCUCUUCUUUCCCUCAGCGACGAUCUCUUGAAGUCAAAUAGCUUUAUAGAAGGAGUUUCUCACAAGAUCAGGAGACAGAUCGAGGAAUUGGAGAGGGUGUCUGGUGUGGAGAGCAGUGCUUUGACUGUAGAUGGUGUACCUGUAGAUUCGUAUCUCACCAGGUUUAUUUGGGACGAAGCCAAGUAUCCAACAAUGUCACCUCUUAGGGAGAUUGUGGACAGCAUUCAUACCCAAGUGGCAAAGAUUGAGGAUGAUCUCAAGGUUCGUGUUGCUGAGUAUAACAAUGUGCGCAGUCAACUCAAUGCCAUUAAUCGAAAGCAAAGUGGAAGCUUAGCUGUUCGUGAUCUUUCCAAUUUGGUGAAACCAGAGGAUAUUAUUUCCUCUGAACAUCUUGUGACCCUGCUUGCAAUUAUUCCCAAGUAUUCACAGAAGGAUUGGUUGGCAAGCUAUGAAACAUUGACUAGCUAUGUGGUUCCCAGGUCCUCCAAGAAGUUACAUGAGGAUAAUGAAUAUGCUCUUUACACUGUAAUGCUAUUUCGCCGUGUUGCGGACAACUUUAGAACAAGUGCACGUGAAAA